rnacentral:rRNA from 1 species
CCUACGGGAGGCAGCAGUGGGGAAUAUUGCACAAUGGGGGGAACCCUGAUGCAGCGACGCCGCGUGAGUGAAGAAGUAUUUCGGUAUGUAAAGCUCUAUCAGCAGGGAAGAAAAUGCCGGUACCUGACUACGAAGCCCCGGCUAACUACGUGCCAGCAGCCGCGGUAAUACGUAGGGGGCAAGCGUUAUCCGGAUUUACUGGGUGUAAAGGGAGCGCAGACGGCUGUGCAAGUCUGGAGUGAAAGGCGGGGGCCCAACCCCCGGACUGCUCUGGAAACUGUAAAGCUGGAGUGCAGGAGAGGUAAGCGGAAUUCCUAGUGUAGCGGUGAAAUGCGUAGAUAUUAGGAGGAACACCAGUGGCGAAGGCGGCUUACUGGACUGCAACUGACGUUGAGGCUCGAAAGCGUGGGGAGCAAACAGGAUUAGAUACCCCUGUAGUC